AAGUGGACUAGGUCGGGCGGUUAGGCCCCGCUCGUCACCCGUGAGGUAGUCUUUAGCGGGGACCGAACAGCGGGCGCGUCCGGUCUGACCGGCGCGGGCCCCGAGAGCCAACGUGGAAGCCUCGUCCGCCGGGGACAGCGGUCCGCGACGCCCGCUCGCAGGAGCGGUCCGUCGCGGUUCGUCGGCGACACUGGGUCAGGCGCGGAAGCGAGCAGCCCACCGCCGGACGCCCGUCGCUCGUCGGGUCGCGGGGUGGAGAAGGCAACCGGGAUACCCCACGUCGGAACGCCGGGCCACCCCGCUUGUCCGCCA
rnacentral:SRP_RNA from 23 species